rnacentral:misc_RNA from 1 species
UGUUCGAGCGUCAUAAUGACCAAUCCCGUUCGCGGGGUCUUGGGCACCGCCUCUGGGCGGGCCUCAAAAUCAGUGGCGGUACGGCCGGGCUCUGAGCGUAGUAAAUCUUCUCGCUAUAGGGUCCCGGGCGGCACUAGCCAGCAACCCCCAAUCUUUCACAGGUUGACCUCGGAUCAGGUAGGGAUACCCGCUGAACUUAA